rnacentral:rRNA from 1 species
CUGUGGGGGGGCCUAAUACAUGCAAGUCGAACGAGUUCUGAUUAUUGAAAGGUGCUUGCAUCUUGAUUUAAUUUUGAACGAGUGGCGGACGGGUGAGUAACACGUGGGUAACCUGCCCUUAAGUGGGGGAUAACAUUUGGAAACAGAUGCUAAUACCGCAUAAAUCCAAGAACCGCAUGGUUCUUGGCUGAAAGAUGGCGUAAGCUAUCGCUUUUGGAUGGACCCGCGGCGUAUUAGCUAGUUGGUGAGGUAACGGCUCACCAAGGCAAUGAUACGUAGCCGAACUGAGAGGUUGAUCGGCCACAUUGGGACUGAGACACGGCCCAAACUCCUACGGGAGGCAGCAGUAGGGAAUCUUCCACAAUGGACGCAAGUCUGAUGGAGCAACGCCGCGUGAGUGAAGAAGGCUUUCGGGUCGUAAAACUCUGUUGUUGGAGAAGAAUGGUCGGCAGAGUAACUGUUGUCGGCGUGACGGUAUCCAACCAGAAAGCCACGGCUAACUACGUGCCAGCAGCCGCGGUAAUACGUAGGUGGCAAGCGUUAUCCGGAUUUAUUGGGCGUAAAGCGAGCGCAGGCGGUUUUUUAAGUCUGAUGUGAAAGCCCUCGGCUUAACCGAGGAAGUGCAUCGGAAACUGGGAAACUUGAGUGCAGAAGAGGACAGUGGAACUCCAUGUGUAGCGGUGAAAUGCGUAGAUAUAUGGAAGAACACCAGUGGCGAAGGCGGCUGUCUGGUCUGUAACUGACGCUGAGGCUCGAAAGCAUGGGUAGCGAACAGGAUUAGAUACCCUGGUAGUCCAUGCCGUAAACGAUGAAUGCUAGGUGUUGGAGGGUUUCCGCCCUUCAGUGCCGCAGCUAACGCAUUAAGCAUUCCGCCUGGGGAGUACGACCGCAAGGUUGAAACUCAAAGGAAUUGACGGGGGCCCGCACAAGCGGUGGAGCAUGUGGUUUAAUUCGAAGCAACGCGAAGAACCUUACCAGGUCUUGACAUCUUUUGAUCACCUGAGAGAUCAGGUUUCCCCUUCGGGGGCAAAAUGACAGGUGGUGCAUGGUUGUCGUCAGCUCGUGUCGUGAGAUGUUGGGUUAAGUCCCGCAACGAGCGCAACCCUUAUGACUAGUUGCCAGCAUUUAGUUGGGCACUCUAGUAAGACUGCCGGUGACAAACCGGAGGAAGGUGGGGAUGACGUCAAAUCAUCAUGCCCCUUAUGACCUGGGCUACACACGUGCUACAAUGGAUGGUACAACGAGUUGCGAGACCGCGAGGUCAAGCUAAUCUCUUAAAGCCAUUCUCAGUUCGGACUGUAGGCUGCAACUCGCCUACACGAAGUCGGAAUCGCUAGUAAUCGCGGAUCAGCACGCCGCGGUGAAUACGUUCCCGGGCCUUGUACACACCGCCCGUCACACCAUGAGAGUUUGUAACACCCGAAGCCGGUGGCGUAACCCUUUUAGGGAGCGAGCCGUCUAAGGGGGACCA